CUCCACAAACCCUAGAAACCAAAGUUGUUCAUUUGCCAUCUUCUUCUUCCCCUGAAUCGAUCCCUCACUACCUCACCUUCUGCUUACCUUAAUCUUUCGUUGUCAUCUAUACAAUCCGAUACCACCAUCUGCUAAUUACCUUUUUUUCUUUACCUGUUACCUUUUGAUCAUAUUUAUUUCAAAUCAAGAAUUAGGUUUGCUCUUAUUUCAAAUCUUUAUGAUUUAUACACGCUAAUCAUCUUCAAGUUUCCAAUCCAGGAAUCCGUACCUCUAGCCACCCAAUCGACGGUUGCACAAUCGAGUAAUCGACACCGCCAUAGAGAUCCAAAAACCCAAGUUUUUCGUUGACCAAAGUGGCUGAAAGAUCGGAAGAACAACCGUAAAAAAAUGAAGGAUUUACAGGUUAGACACACAUCAAUGGUGCAACAGACCGCUAUGGAUGUCAGUUGUGUUGAUCCAACAGAUCACUAUGGAAGCAAACAUUGUGGUUAUUCUGUAAGCCAUGCUCUUCAGGUAAAAAAAUCAGGUAUAUACAUGAAGCGUGAUUUGUUGGCUAUUGAAAUAUUUCAAACCGUCUACAUACAUUUGUUAAAGACUCUACUAAACAAGUAAUGGGGCUAAGGAGUAUAUUCCAUUUUAAAGUUUUGGGAUUAGCACUGAUACAAGUGAGUUUAAGUAAUUGCGUAUUAUAUUUAAUUAUUUAUUAAUUUUUGAUAUAUAAAGAAAUUGCCUUUCAGGUUAUGCUUUUUGGUUUAGGCUUUUGAAUUAGAUUUUUCGGAUUGUCAAUGUUGGUUAUGUCAUUUAUAGCUGUGUCCCCCUUGCCUUUGCAGGUAUCGUGCGUUUUGCUUAUUGUUAGGAUUGUCAACGACUUUGUUUACGAGGUUAUUUGAUUGUUUUUAUUUAGAUUUAUAUUGUUUUAGAUAGUCUGGCGUGUACACUAUCUCUACAAAAUGAUUGAAGAAUGAGGACUCCAUAAUCUCAAAGAUGUGACUAAGACUUGGAAAUUUUGGAGUUCUGACCCACUGCUUUAAUGUCGCUUACAUACUAUAUUGACCGAACAUGGUUUUAACGAUGAAAAGCAUUACAUGUGGGACAACACUCUCAUUUGAUGAUCAAGAGCUAUAUAUGGUGUUAAUUGUGCAAAUAUUAGAUCGAGUUGUUCUAUAAAUUGGUUCAAAUGGAGAAAAGAAGCAUCCAGUCGGAGCAGAGCACUAUGUGCUAUAUGAAGAGGUAGGGCAAGGUGUCCGUACAUCAGUAUAUCGCGCCAUGUGUACUCUAUUCAAUGAGAUCAUUGCGAAUAAGAUUAUUGAUUUUUAACACGACAAUAGUGAUCUGAACUAUCUGGUUGCAAUCAUGGCAGGGGUUUUGGUGCUAUCUACCAGCUUUCGUUCUAUAGUUUCUUAUGGAAUCAAAGUCCGUUCUAUUAAAGUGAUCUGGUAGUUACAAGAUCAUCCCAUGUGGGUGAGGAUUUUUUGUUGUUUGUGGGAAGCAAACGCUAUAGACAACUUGGACCAAAGAGGCCAGGAUUUCCACUCAAAAGUUGCAGCUACCACCACAGUUUGAAAACUAAAGCCUUCAAGAAUUGUGCCAAAGGCCGUGUUUGAACGCUUCACUGUGAAGUGAUUGUAAGAUAGUCAAUGUGACUGAAACGACACACAAAACACCAAUGAAGCAUAAUAUGGGUUGACAAUUUUGCUUUUGCCUCUGACAUUUUGGCUCUUUUGUGGCUGGUGAAGCAUGCAAUGGAAUGGGUCAAGAAAAAAAAAACUCUAAUGCAAUUUUUUCUCAUGAUCAAGUUCCUUCAUUUCAAUCAAAUUUGUGCAUGAAACAAUCAUAUAUAGAUGAGCAGAUAAGGAAAACAUAACCUUUGGAAAGCAGUGGGUCUUCAAAAGUUAAAAGAGUUGGUAAGAAGUAAAACUCCGGUCAUGAGAGGCCAGAAUGGAGGAGGUUGUUGGUCGAAAAUAUGUUGAUGGAGCUUUAAGGAGAGAUAAUCAAGCGAGUGGAAGUUAGCGAUAACAUUGGCCGCUCCGGCGAAAUGUCAUGGUUUGUGGAUGUGUGUGUAAACGGUUGAGAGUUUCAGAUCUGAAUUUGUUAGUUGGAGUAUGAUUUUCCCUACAUUUUUAUGAAAGGGUUCGAGUUCGUUUAACAAGGUUGGGGCUGCUAAAUUUACUAAAGAAACUGGUGCCUUUGGAAUUAUUUAUGAGGCUAUCUUUGGUAGUGACUUGGUUUUAUUAUUGAUUUCUGGUUCAGCUCGGGUUUGUUGGUUUGGCACGUUUUGACCAAUGUAUAGUCUCUUAAGUAUACGAUCAUUGAGCUGAUGUGAUUUUGUAGUUAAUGCAAGCGGAUAACUACGAGAAAAUCUUUUCACACAUGAAGCCAAACAACAUACUUGGGUUAUCCCAUGGGUUCUUUCUUGGUCAUCUGCAAUAAGUUGUUCUUGAUUUCCCCAAGAACACAAGUGUGGUUGCUGUGCGUCCCAAAGGAAUGGGUCCAUUUGUUAGGAGGCUGUAUGUUCAAGGAAAUGAAAUAAAUGGAGGUGGAAUCAAUGCAAGUUUUGUUGUUCAACCGGUUGCUUUUCUUCUUUAUUCUGUAUAUAUCUUGUGAGAUAUUUAGAUGAAGAAAAAUUGUACGUGUGUGCAGGAUGUUGAUGGAAGAGCCACUGAGGUGAGCCUUUUAACUGCAUUUUCAUUGUCAAUAAGUAAUCUAUGUAAGAUGUCACUUUGUUUGUAUUUAUACACUUUGUGAUAAUGUAGAUUAAAUUUUCCGACCCGCGAAGUUCGCGGGUGAUAACCUA